rnacentral:rRNA from 1 species
GUAGGUGGCAAGCGUUGUCCGGAAUUAUUGGGCGUAAAGCGCGCGCAGGCGGUCCUUUAAGUCUGAUGUGAAAGCCCACGGCUCAACCGUGGAGGGUCAUUGGAAACUGGGGGACUUGAGUACAGAAGAGGAAAGCGGAAUUCCAAGUGUAGCGGUGAAAUGCGUAGAGAUUUGGAGGAACACCAGUGGCGAAGGCGGCUUUCUGGUCUGUAACUGACGCUGAGGCGCGAAAGCGUGGGGAGCAAACAGGGAUUAGAUACCCUGGUAGUCCACGCCGUAAACGAUGAGUGCUAAGUGUUAGGGGGGUUUCCGCCCCCGUUAGUGCUGCAGCUAACGCAUUAAGCACUCCGCCUGGGGAUACGGCCGCAAGGCUG